rnacentral:rRNA from 1 species
UAACACAUGCAAGUCGAACGGAAACGAAACUAGCUUGCUAGUAGGCGUCGAGUGGCGGACGGGUGAGUAACGCGUAGGAAUCUGCCUGAUAGUGGGGGAUAGCCCGAAGAAAUUCGGAUUAAUACCGCAUAAUCUAUUCGUAGUAAAGUGGGGGGCGUUCGAGCCUCACGCUAUCAGAUGAGCCUGCGUAAGAUAAGCUUGUUGGUAGGGUAAAAGCCUACCAAGGCAACGAUCUUUAGCUGGUCUGAGAGGAUGAUCAGCCACAUCGGGACUGAGACACGGCCCGAACUCCUACGGGAGGCAGCAGUGGGGAAUAUUGGACAAUGGGGGCAACCCUGAUCCAGCAAUACCGCGUGUGUGAAGAAGGCCUGAGGGUUGUAAAGCACUUUCAAUUGUGAAGAAAAGUUAACGGUUAAUAACCGUUGACCUUGACGUCAACUUUAGAAGAAGCACCGGCUAACUCCGUGCCAGCAGCCGCGGUAAUACGGAGGGUGCAAGCGUUAAUCGGAAUUACUGGGCGUAAAGCGUGCGUAGGCGGUUUAUUAAGUCAGAUGUGAAAGCCCCGGGCUUAACCUGGGAACUGCAUUUGAAACUGGUCAACUAGAGUAUGGUAGAGGAAAGUGGAAUUUCUGGUGUAGCGGUGAAAUGCGUAGAUAUCAGAAGGAACAUCAAUGGCGAAGGCAGCUUUCUGGACCAAUACUGACGCUGAGGUACGAAAGCGUGGGUAGCAAACAGGAUUAGAUACCCUGGUAGUCCACGCCGUAAACGAUGAUAACUAGCCGUUGGGGGGAUUUACCCCUUAGUGGCGAAGCUAACGCGUUAAGUUAUCCGCCUGGGGAGUACGGCCGCAAGGCUAAAACUCAAAGGAAUUGACGGGGACCCGCACAAGCGGUGGAGCAUGUGGUUUAAUCCGAUGCAACGCGAAGAACCUUACCUGGUCUUGACAUCCUGCGAACUUUCUAGAAAUAGAUUGGUGCCUUCGGGAACGCAGUGACAGGUGCUGCAUGGCUGUCGUCAGCUCGUGUCGUGAGAUGUUGGGUUAAGUCCCGUAACGAGCGCAACCCCUAUCCUUAUUUGCCAGCACAUUAUGGUGGGAACUAUAAGGAGACUGCCGGUGAUAAACCGGAGGAAGGCGGGGACGACGUCAAGUCAUCAUGGCCCUUACGACCAGGGCUACACACGUGCUACAAUGGGAAGGACAAAGAGCCGCGAAGCCGCGAGGUGUAGCUAAUCUCAUAAAUCUUUUCGUAGUCCGGAUUGGAGUCUGCAACUCGACUCCAUGAAGUCGGAAUCGCUAGUAAUCGUAGAUCAGAAUGCUACGGUGAAUACGUUCCCGGGUCUUGUACACACCGCCCGUCAUACCAUGGGAGUGGGUUGCACCAGAAGUGGCUAGUCUAACUUUGUGAGGACGGUCACCACGGUGUGAUUCAUGACUGGGGUA